UAACCUACAAACCUAUACCAGAGCAAAGCUGGCUCCAUCCUGGGGGCGGAGUUGGAUUCAUGGGAGGUGAUCUUGGAGGGGAGGAUGCUCCUCAAAUUGCGGAGCAUCCUGAACAAUACAGCUCAUCCCCUCCAUGACACACUGGUCAACCUAAGGAGCAC